UUCGAUUUCGUAUUCAGGUAUAUAGGAAGAAAGUAUGGCUGACGCCUCGGACGUAGUUGCUGAUCUAGAGACGAUUAAACAGACAUUUGUUGGAAAAUGGAAGCUUACGAAGAGUGAAGGACUGGACGAUUAUCUGAAAUUCUUAGGAUUCAAUUUCGUUGUCCGGAAGCUUGCGGCGACGGCUAGUUCGACUAUGGAAAUAUCCGUGGAAGGGGACAAGAUCCACUUAACAACCAGUGGGCCCAAAAGUCUACACACAAAUCAUGUAACCUCAAUACGGAGUUCGAGGACUCUGACCCGUUUGACAAUGUUGUAACGGCUAUAGUGACAUUUGAAUAUGGUAGACUGAUAACCAACUCCACGCCGAAAGGAAACUCCAAGGCCAAAGCUACAAAGGUCAUCCGAGAAAUCAGCAAACAGUCUGACGGCAAGGAUGAGAUGAUUAUGACAGUGAGUGCUGGGACGGUGGUGAUGAAGAGGUUUUUCAUGAGACAAUGAUGUAUGGCGACCCAGAUGUACGAUACCCCUUUGUCGGAAGCGCCUUCAAGUAGCAGAUCAAGGAAAUCAAAGACUUGAAUCUGAAUGGCUGACGUGUUACCAUUGUAUUGUGCGAUAUUUUGUUGAGACGAGACUCCGUAGACGGAGUAGAAUGAUAUGAACAAUUUUGUCUUUAAACGACAUGGUCAAUCGGGAAAAAACACCACUUGUUUAAUAUUGACCUUUCUCAACCUGCCGUGAUCAAAACAUUCCUUAAUACGUUUUAUAAAUUAUACUUUGAUCAUAAUUUGGUGAUAAUUUUCUGUACGUGAUAAAAACCAGAGAAAUGUAUUGUGGCCUCCUAGUAGGUAUACUACAUUGUUACUUUAGUUUUAUAUUCCCACUGUUACAUUCACUUCGGAAAUACAAAAUAUAAUCAGAGAGUGCCGCUUAGCGGAGAGAAAUGGUACCUAUAAGCAAGUAAUCUACAUGUAAUUCACUAUUACACAUUAUAGUGACAAAUGACUUCGGACAGUCAGUUUGACAUACUGCCCAGAUAUAUAUAUAAUGUCUUUAACUCUUACUGCCCUUUAUGACGAUGUUUUCAUUCAAGGUGCAUAUUAUUUUUUUUUUUACUUUAUUUUCGUUUUUAUUAAAAGGAUUUAUUUAUAGAAAAAGUCAAAAAGUUAAUAUUCGUUCUAAAGUGUAUUUUAUGAUUUUUUUAGUUUCGUGGUCAUAUAGUAUAUACUCUGAUUUACAAUAUAUGUUCUGUUACUUUGUAGUCACGUGGACCAUAUUCUUAUUCCUGUUAGAUUCGUAGAACGCGGACCAUCAUCAGUUUUCAAACUGUUUCUUUCAUCACCAGGAGGGGAGGCAACUGGUCAAACUUAUUACAAAGAGUUGUCCUUCUUUACAUUGACGAAGUCUUAUCGAGGGCAAAGA